CGGCGGGGACGACCUCGCCAUGACCGGGCAAGUGUCGGGACGGCCCGA
rnacentral:ncRNA from 2 species